UCUCAGUUAAAGCGAAAGCAUUUGCCAAGAAUGUUUUCAUUAAACAAGAACAAUAGUCGGAAGUGCGAAACGAUCAGAUACCGUCGUAGUUCCCACCGUAAACGAUGCCGGCGAUCCGGCUCGUAGUUCCGACCGUAAACGAUGCCGACCCGCGAUCCGGCGGCGUUAUUCCCAUGACCCGCCGGGCAGCGUGCGGGAAACCACGAGUCUUUGGGUUCCGGGGGGAGUAUGGUUGCAAAGCUGAAACUUAAAGGAAUUGACGGAAGGGCACCACCAGGAGUGGAGCCUGCGGCUUAAUUUGACUCAACACGGGAAACCUCACCCGGCCCGGACACGGAAAGGAUUGACAGAUUGAUAGCUCUUUCUCGAUUCUGUGGGUGGUGGUGCAUGGCCGUUCUUAGUUGGUGGAGCGAUUUGUCUGGUUCAUUCCGAUAACGAACGAGACUCCGGCUUGUUAAAUAGUUACGCGGCCCCGUGCGGUCGGCGUUCAACUUCUUAGAGGGACAAGUGGCGUUCAGCCACGCGAGAUGGAGCAAUAACAGGUCUGUGAUGCCCUUAGAUGUCCGGGGCUGCACGCGCGCCACAAUGGGCGGAUCAGCGUGUGUCUACCCUGCGCCGAGAGGCGCGGGUAACCCGCUGAACCCCGCUCGUGAUCGGGACUGGGGAUUGAAACUAUUUCCCAUCAACGAGGAAUUCCCAGUAAGCGCGGGUCAUAAGCUCGCGUUGAUUAAGUCCCUGCCCUUUGUACACACCGCCCGUCGCUACUACAGAUUGGAUGGUUAAGUGAGGUCCUCGGAUCGGCCCCGCCGGGGAUAAAUUAUUUUUCAUUCAGGCAAUUUUUAGGCCACAAUAAAGUAAUGUAUAUCAAUCUAAAGCUUAUAAUCUCUC
rnacentral:rRNA from 1 species